rnacentral:rRNA from 1 species
ACGGAAGGCAGCAGUAGGGAAUUUUGCACAAUGGGCGCAAGCCUGAUGCAGCAACGCCGCGUGAGCGAUGAAGGCCUUUGGGUCGUAAAGCUCUGUCCUUGGGGAAGAAGAUCUGACGGUACCCUUGGAGGAAGCCCCGGCUAACUACGUGCCAGCAGCCGCGGUAAUACGUAGGGGGCAAGCGUUAUCCGGAAUUAUUGGGCGUAAAGAGUACGUAGGUGGUUUUUUAAGCGCGGGGUUUAAGGCUAUGGCUUAACCAUAGUUCGCCCCGUGAACUGGAAGACUUGAGUGCUGGAGGGGAAAGUGGAAUUCCUAGUGUAGCGGUGAAAUGCGUAGAUAUUAGGAGGAACACCGGUGGCGAAGGCGACUUUCUGGACAGCUACUGACACUGAGGUACGAAAGCGUGGGGAGCAAACAGGAUUAGAUACCCUGGUA